rnacentral:lncRNA from 1 species
CAUAGAUAUAUAUAUAUAUAUAUUAAAUAUUAAUACACGAUUUGAAAUUGUUAAAUUAUGCGGGAAAACGAAGAUAAAAAGAAUUCGCGCGAUUAUUAAGUUGUACUAGAAAAACUGAGCAUCGAUCAACAUUGAUGGAAAUAGUCUCCUCUCGUAGAUAAUGAAACAAAAGAGAGAGGGAGAGAAAAAAACGAAUUAACUAUAUCUAUAGUCUUUGAAAUACCCUUUGAAUUUCUCGUUUCGAGUUUCGGCGCUUUUUAUAAACAAGAAAUGAGAUAUGCGUAAUGCUUGUCUCGUUGAUAAAAAAAAAAAAAAAACGAAUGUAAUAACAAUCAUAAUAAUAAUAAUAAUAUCAAUAAUUACGAAUAAUUAUCGAUAAAGUAUUUUUUAAUUAUCGUUUAUAUUUGCUGCGAUAGCAGCGAAAUCUAUGGUCACGUUUCGAAGCGAUCCUUUGUAAAAUGAACGAUCAAAUUUUUUUUCCUUUUUCUCUAUACAUAUUUUCCUUUUCUACUUUCUUAUUUUGCGUAUCGUUCUUUUCGACUAUACGAAAAAAAAACAAUUGGUGUUUAAUUUUACGCGAGUUGUGCGGACGAUCGAAAGCGAGAUGGAGCACGUUUGACGAUAUCAGUUUAACCUCUAAAGUGCAAAAGUACCAUCGUUCUAACAUCAUUCAAUACGGAUUUCGACUUUGUGUUAAAAUUUAUUUUUCCGUCUUAUGAGACUCGACAAUGUUAUUUCAAAGAAUUGUAAAUCAAUAAAUUUCAUUUUGAUCUAAAAUUAACACUCCUUGAGAAUGAGUGAAUAAUAUAUAUAAAGUGAAUUUCGACACCAUAAAGGUUAAGUUAGAAACAUUUCGUAGACGAAUAUAGAAGUUGCUCCACGUCCAGAAUUUCUGCCCCAUGAAAUUUUAUGUUUUUUCUUUUUUCCUAUACACACGUAUAUUAUACACGCAUUUAUAUGUAUGUAAUAUAACCAGAAUAAGCAAGAUCUUGGAAAGAGAAUCUUGUCGCUAGAGUACAAUCGAUCGAUCGAUUCAACUGCGAAGCCUAUCUCUAACGAAAUUUCGUGCACGCAGCAUUAUUUUGUCUCUUAUUUUUCCCUUCAGUCGGCGAACGCGGUCUUAGGUCGUCGAGAAGAGGCUAGCAAGCAGCCUGAGCUCGACACACACGAAGAUAGCUUAUAUGACUUGCCUGCGUCCUUCCAGGAAGAACAAUCGGUCAAACCGAAUAUUCGAUUCGUCUUCUCGGUCUUCCGUUCGUCCAUAACGCGGAUCAUGCGCGUAUCCCACGUUAAAUUACGUAUGAAGAAUUAUACUAUAAUGAUCCCGUAUACGUGAUAUUCGUAAACGAAUAUUUAAUUUUUUUUAACUGAAAUCCAGAAAUAUUCGCGUUCUAAAUCGUGUUAACAAAUUGAUACGAUACGACUUUUUCAAUAUCUAUAACAAAAAUCAAAUUUUUCAUUUAAAAAAAAAAAAACCUCUAUCCAAAUCUUAAUCUUUUUUCAACUAAGUACAUAUCGAUUUCAUUCAUUUGAUAUUGAAUUAAAUUCCAAAAAAAGUAAAACAAUAUUUGUCCAAUCAAUAUCUAAAUAAAAUUAAAAAUGUUAAAUUCAAAGUAUUAUUUUUAUGAUAUUUCUGGAAAUCAGCGAGCACAUUCGUCCACGAAUGCACGUAUGAAGCCUAUUGUGAGGCAGACGGACGAAUAAUUGGUCGAACAAUCGACCGGCCAUGAUGUGGGACACGCACACGUGAUACACGGACCCACUAGGUCUCUCUUUUUUCUGCGAAGAUCGCGUGACGAUCAUCGACAUCCCUCGAGAAGGCAAGGCAAGAGAGCCAGGCGAGAAAAUCGAGCCAAAGUGCUCUCGUCGGAUGAAGGAAGACCUAUUGCAAUGACCUAAGAGUCGGUUCGGGAACCAGCACAUGUUUCCAGAAACGCGCGUACUUC